rnacentral:rRNA from 1 species
UGGGGGAUAUUGCACAAUGGGCGAAAGCCUGAUGCAGCGACGCCGCGUGGGGUAUGAAGGCUUUCGGGUUGUAAACCUCUUUCGCUAUCGAACAAGGCCCGCUUAGGGUGGGUUGAGGGUAGGUGGAGAAGAAGCGCCGGCUAACUACGUGCCAGCAGCCGCGGUAAUACGUAGGGCGCGAGCGUUGUCCGGAAUUAUUGGGGGUAAAGGGCUUGUAGGCGGCUUGUUGCGCCUGCUGUGAAAACGCGGGGCUUAACUUCGCGCGUGCAGUGGGUACGGGCAGGCUUGAGUGUGGUAGGGGUGACUGGUAUUCCAGGUGUAGCGGUGGAAUGCGCAGAUAUCUGGAGGAACACCGAUGGAGAAGGAAGAUCACUGGGCCAUUACUGACACUGAGGAGCGAAAGCAUGGGUAGCGAACAGG